rnacentral:rRNA from 1 species
CCUACGGGGUGCAGCAGUCGAGAAUCAUUCACAAUGGGGGAAACCCUGAUGGUGCGACGCCGCGUGGGGGAAUGAAGGUCUUCGGAUUGUAAACCCCUGUCAUGUGGGAGCAAAUUAAAAAGAUAGUACCACAAGAGGAAGAGACGGCUAACUCUGUGCCAGCAGCCGCGGUAAUACAGAGGUCUCACGCGUUGUUCGGAAUCACUGGGCGUAAGGCGUGCGUAGGCUGUUUCGUAAGUCGUGUGUGAAAGGCGCGGGCUCAACCCGCGGACGGCACAUGAUACUGCGAGACUAGAGUAAUGGAGGGGGAACCGGAAUUCUCGGUGUAGCAGUGAAAUGCGUAGAUAUCGAGAGGAACACUCGUGGCGAAGGCGGGUUCCUGGACAUUAACUGACGCUGAGGCACGAAGGCCAGGGGAGCGAAAGGGAUUAGAUACCCGGGUAGUC